rnacentral:lncRNA from 1 species
UGGCUUGGGGGUGUUGCCCGCUGGACUCCUCACCCACGCCCUCAAGCUGAACACCUGCGCUGUGUUACAAGUUCAAGAAGCUGGACUUGUGGCUUCGUUGGAAGAAUGCUUGCUUAACAUCCUCAGCACUGCAUGAAGCCAUAUGUCUGCAAGCCCAGCGUGUUGGAGACGGAGCUAGUAAGACCAGCAGUCAAGGUCAUCCGAAGCUGCAUAUAGGUUCAGAUGCCAGCCUGGGCUAUGGGAGACCCUACCUCAAACAACAAUAAAAGUGACAGACAAAAUAAAAGGAGUUUCAGACUCGAGAGUGUUUCUGAUUUUGGGUUAGAAAAGAAAAUACUAUAAUAUUGUAAGCAACAGUUUACAUGCAGGAGACUGAAUGCUAACUCUAACCUGUAAACAUA